UACAGAGGGUGCAAGCGUUGUUCGGAAUUAUUGGGCGUAAAGCGCACGUAGGCGGUCCUGCAAGUCGGGUGUGAAAGCCCUCGGCUCAACCGAGGAAGUGCAUCCGAAACUGCAGAACUUGAGUAGUGAAGAGGGUCUCGGAAUUCCCGGUGUAGAGGUGAAAUUCGUAGAUAUCGGGAGGAACACCAGUGGCGAAGGCGGAGACCUGGGCACAUACUGACGCUGAGGUGCGAAAGCGUGGGGAGCAAACAGG
rnacentral:rRNA from 1 species